CCGCGCCCGCCGCGGAGGCGGCAGGGAGACCGCCCGAGAGAGCUGUGGGCUUCCAGGUUUACUGUCUAACUACUCCUAUGCUGCACAUCUUGUACCCCAAAAGAAAGCCUUUAUGAUAGCUCUAAAACCCAGAUGCUGGCUUUUGGAGAAGAAAAGAAUUUAUGAAGAAAAGUUUAGUCAGAAGCAUGGUCACUGUUUGUGAUGGGGAAUGUCUGCUGUCUGCUGAAAACACCAAACAAAGACAACCUGAUAAAGAUGAUGGUUUGCCCCAGUGCUUUCAGCCGAGUAUUUUGCUCACUAUCAGGAAGAUCUGAUCCAGAGGUUUGCUAUCUAGGAUUUUAAUGGUUUAUGAAGAUCUACAUGAAAAUCAUUGCAAGAUGAUAAAAUUUUUAUUUAUUAAAUUCUGACUCCCUGUGCUAGCAGUGUUGCUCUGAAGCAAAGCCUGUCCUUGCUAUAAUCUUUCGAUUCUGUGUUUAGCCUUGUUGCUUUUCUUGAUGUUGGUCCUGUAUUUUCCUGAUUUUUUCACUCUGUUUGGUUAUCUUUGGGGAACCCAGCUCUUUCUUCAUUUUCAUUUUCAUCCUAGAGGACAUUUAUGCCAGACAAACCUUCCUCAAACUAACUACAAGGCUUUUCUUUGCCAUUCCCCCAGCCUAGUGCAUGGGCACGAUUUGUUACUGCUAGAUAUUAGGCAGAUAAUACCUUAACAGACAGCUGUGUAGGUAAACUUAUGAUGGAAACAUGAGACAAAUAGAAGAUAACCUCCUGUGGCUGCAGUGUACCUUCUUCUCAUAU